rnacentral:lncRNA from 1 species
UUAAGUGACAAUAGAUGAAGUGCGUGGUUUGUGAGAUUGUUCCUGUUGCAAAUAUUCAUUUAGCAUGAGCUGAGCAUUGAUGUGAACAUAUUAAUUUCAUACAGUCCAAUUAAUACAAAAUAAGUAAUAGUCUAACUAACACUGUUGAAUUAACGUCUAAGCAUACAAAUCAGAACAGCUUCAUGUAAAUUAAAGAAUAAAAAAGAAGUUCUUCAAUAUUCCUUCUCGACAAAAACAGUCAUACACAUGUAUUCAAUCUCACAGCACUUGAGGUUUGAAAAUGUACCUGGAAUUUGAGGCAAAACAAAGGAAAACGAGCAUUCAGCAGUAUCACAUCAGUUUAGCAACAGAAAUCAGACGCUUGAGAUAAUGUUAUAGACCCAGAAACAAUAUCAACUGACAUAGGACCAAUUUCAACCAAUGAACCACCCAAAAACAGCCUGAAUACACUCGAAAUAACUCGAAAUUGAACCCAGGAACACCAGGGACUCGAAUUAGCAGCUACACUUGAAAUCAAUCUAGGAAAAACUUCAAAAUAACAGUAUUUGUUUGGCAGUUUUCUGUUUCCUUUGCUUUUGUUUUUGGCUUUUUGAAGAAACUAAGAUCUAAGCUGAAAAUUUUCUUUGAAUUCUAGGAGUUCAGAUUUGAGUAUUUGAAUUUGAAAUUCAAAUUUCAAAGGCUAAACUUCGAGAAAACUUUUUGAGGGGGAAUUUUUAGAUGCUGAAAACUUUGGUAAUUUUCAAGGGUUCCCCAAAACCUGUCAAUGAAGGCAAAAUGCGUGACUUUUAUAGGCAAACUUGAGGGUUCUCUCAGAUUUUCAGCUUUUCACCCCGAGUCCCUCUGUUAUUUUUCAUAUUUAACCAAUUAGCCUAUUAUUUUCUAGCUUGUUUCUCAAGUUACUACAUUAAAACUACUGAAAUUUAAACUAAGACCCCCCUUCUAGAAGUGCCUAGGGAGUUCAAGAUUUAUCAACAACAUUAUUCUCUAUUUUGGAAUACCUAAACUACCCUUCAGUCAAUCUAAAAUUAACAAACCAAACCUAAUUAAUCCUCCAACUAGUUAACCUUAGUUUAAACUAACCAAGGUUAGUCAAUCAAGAGUUAGAUUAAUCAGCUAUAUCCGUAAAUCUAAUGACCAAAUACACUUAUUCUAAUUAACCUUGGAUAAUUAGUGAACUAACCAAUAACAAUAAACGAACAGGUUUAAAACCAGAUUAGCAGGAACCUCUAUUGAUCAACUAACUAAAAACAAAUACAAAAUCACACCAACCAGAAAAAUCAAAGAAAACGGAACAAAAUUAAACCAAAAACUAAAAACUAAAAUAAACAGAAUCAAAAACUUUACUGACUCAACACAAACAAUCAAAAAUUUAAAACCAAGACCAAAAAUACUGGAUUAAAUUAAUAACAGAUAAACCAAAUAGAAAAGAAAGCUUACUUACGUGAAUUUGAACCAAUCGGACUCCGAUUCGAGUUUCGGAAUGAUGUGAAUGCGUGUUCUUCAACAAAAACAAACGAACACCUUAUCUCGAGACUAGACUCAAACUAUGGACUCAGGAAAUUGGGUGAAAUUCUAGGAACUCAGAUUUCUAGGGUUCUUCUGGUCUGAGAUCUAAAAUUCGAGAGGUUUUGGCAACAUUCUAAGGAUUCCGUAUAGGGAUUCGGGAGGGGGGUUAGGAGAGUAUAGGGUGUAAAUUUGGUAAGAUUUUGGUGAGUUGAUGUUUUGGUCCGGAUUUUUGAUUUGAAAUUCGAAGAAACUGGGUAAGAUUUGAGGGAAGAAAAAUUUGGAUAUGGACUGGGGAGAUGAAAACAUGGCUAUGGUGUAAGCUUGGAGAGGUUUGGAUGAUUACAGCCGCCGUGGGGCGAUUUCCGGCGUCGAUUUCAAGCGGAGCCGGCGAGGAGCGUCUCUGAGGUAAGGGGAGGUGAGAGAGAGAUGGACCAGGGGGUAGG